rnacentral:rRNA from 1 species
AGAGGGUGCAAGCGUUAAUCGGAAUUACUGGGCGUAAAGCGCACGCAGGCGGGUGUUUAAGUCGGGUGUGAAAGCCCCGGGCUCAACCUGGGAAUUGCAUUCGAUACUGGGCACCUAGAGUAUGGUAGAGGAAAGUAGAAUUCCCGGUGUAGCGGUGAAAUGCGUAGAGAUCGGGAGGAAUACCAGUGGCGAAGGCGGCUUUCUGGACCAAUACUGACGCUCAUGUGCGAAAGCGUGGGGAGCAAACAGGGAUUAGAGACCCUGGUAGUCCACGCCGUAAACGAUGAGAACUAGAUGUCGGGGGGGCUUGACCCCGUCGGUAUCGCAGCUAACGCAUUAAGUUCUCCGCCUGGGGAUACGGCCGCAAGGUUA